GGGCCGGGGCUCGGCCCGUGAGGGAGGCGGGUGCCCGUGAGGGAAGCGGGUGCCUGGCGGGCCGCGGCUCGGCCCGUGAGGGAGGCGGGUGCCCGGCGGGCCCUGCCGGCCGUGGAGCGCCCGCCCGGCGCCGGCACUGCCAACAGCUGAGGCCGGGCAGCCCCGGCAGCAGCAGAAACCCCCGGCCUCAAGCUCAAGCAAGCCCCGUGACUCGCUAUCGUUUCACCGCAUUAGCUCAAAUGACGGGGAUAGAAUUGGCCGAGCUGUGACUCAGCCGGGCCCAGCGGCUCCGCAGGGAAAGCUGGUGGCUGUGCCGGGGGGGAUGCUCCGCACACGGGCAAAGCAUUUAUGAAACUGAUUUCCAAACCAAAAGUGAGCGACGGUCAGAAAAGGGAGGCUAAAGUGAAGAAAUAUGGGCACAGAGGUCGCUCCGCUGAUGGCUGCAUGGGGAAGGCUGCAGUGGAAGACAGGAGCCACUUGCACAUGACUGUGCAAAGAGGGAUACCAAGCCUCCCUGACACUGGGACAAGGAUGAGCCCUGGGGCAGCUUAGAAAUUGACUGUUAGGUCAGAUUGAACUCUGAGCCUGCAAAUCACUGCUUCUGUGAACCCUAUUCAGAUACACAGUUUCUUUGAAGUCAACAGCUGGUAUGAAAAAAAUUCAAAGUAAUGGCGUUACUUACCUGCGUAAAAGCCAUAUUCAUCUGAAGGAGAGAAAUAAAGCUCUGCACACAGCA